rnacentral:rRNA from 1 species
GGGUUGUGAGGUUAAGCGACUAAGCGUACACGGUGGAUGCCCUGGCAGUCAGAGGCGAUGAAGGACGUGCUAAUCUGCGAUAAGCGUCGGUAAGGUGAUAUGAACCGUUAUAACCGGCGAUUUCCGAAUGGGGAAACCCAGUGUGAUUCGUCACACUAUCAUUAACUGAAUCCAUAGGUUAAUGAGGCGAACCGGGGGAACUGAAACAUCUAAGUACCCCGAGGAAAAGAAAUCAACCGAGAUUCCCCCAGUAGCGGCGAGCGAACGGGGAGCAGCCCAGAGCCUGAAUCAGUGUGUGUGUUAGUGGAAGCGUCUGGAAAGGCGUGCGAUACAGGGUGACAGCCCCGUACACAAAAAUGCACAUACUGUGAGCUCGAUGAGUAGGGCGGGACACGUGGUAUCCUGUCUGAAUAUGGGGGGACCAUCCUCCAAGGCUAAAUACUCCUGACUGACCGAUAGUGAACCAGUACCGUGAGGGAAAGGCGAAAAGAACCCCGGCGAGGGGAGUGAAAAAGAACCUGAAACCGUGUACGUACAAGCAGUGGGAGCACGCUUAGGCGUGUGACUGCGUACCUUUUGUAUAAUGGGUCAGCGACUUAUAUUCUGUAGCAAGGUUAACCGAAUAGGGGAGCCGAAGGGAAACCGAGUCUUAACUGGGCGUUAAGUUGCAGGGUAUAGACCCGAAACCCGGUGAUCUAGCCAUGGGCAGGUUGAAGGUUGGGUAACACUAACUGGAGGACCGAACCGACUAAUGUUGAAAAAUUAGCGGAUGACUUGUGGCUGGGGGUGAAAGGCCAAUCAAACCGGGAGAUAGCUGGUUCUCCCCGAAAGCUAUUUAGGUAGCGCCUCGUGAAUUCAUCUCCGGGGGUAGAGCACUGUUUCGGCAAGGGGGUCAUCCCGACUUACCAACCCGAUGCAAACUGCGAAUACCGGAGAAUGUUAUCACGGGAGACACACGGCGGGUGCUAACGUCCGUCGUGAAGAGGGAAACAACCCAGACCGCCAGCUAAGGUCCCAAAGUCAUGGUUAAGUGGGAAACGAUGUGGGAAGGCCCAGACAGCCAGGAUGUUGGCUUAGAAGCAGCCAUCAUUUAAAGAAAGCGUAAUAGCUCACUGGUCGAGUCGGCCUGCGCGGAAGAUGUAACGGGGCUAAACCAUGCACCGAAGCUGCGGCAGCGACGCUUAUGCGUUGUUGGGUAGGGGAGCGUUCUGUAAGCCUGCGAAGGUGUGCUGUGAGGCAUGCUGGAGGUAUCAGAAGUGCGAAUGCUGACAUAAGUAACGAUAAAGCGGGUGAAAAGCCCGCUCGCCGGAAGACCAAGGGUUCCUGUCCAACGUUAAUCGGGGCAGGGUGAGUCGACCCCUAAGGCGAGGCCGAAAGGCGUAGUCGAUGGGAAACAGGUUAAUAUUCCUGUACUUGGUGUUACUGCGAAGGGGGGACGGAGAAGGCUAUGUUGGCCGGGCGACGGUUGUCCCGGUUUAAGCGUGUAGGCUGGUUUUCCAGGCAAAUCCGGAAAACUAAGGCUGAGGCGUGAUGACGAGGCACUACGGUGCUGAAGCAACAAAUGCCCUGCUUCCAGGAAAAGCCUCUAAGCAUCAGGUAACAUCAAAUCGUACCCCAAACCGACACAGGUGGUCAGGUAGAGAAUACCAAGGCGCUUGAGAGAACUCGGGUGAAGGAACUAGGCAAAAUGGUGCCGUAACUUCGGGAGAAGGCACGCUGAUAUGUAGGUGAAGUCCCUCGCGGAUGGAGCUGAAAUCAGUCGAAGAUACCAGCUGGCUGCAACUGUUUAUUAAAAACACAGCACUGUGCAAACACGAAAGUGGACGUAUACGGUGUGACGCCUGCCCGGUGCCGGAAGGUUAAUUGAUGGGGUUAGCGCAAGCGAAGCUCUUGAUCGAAGCCCCGGUAAACGGCGGCCGUAACUAUAACGGUCCUAAGGUAGCGAAAUUCCUUGUCGGGUAAGUUCCGACCUGCACGAAUGGCGUAAUGAUGGCCAGGCUGUCUCCACCCGAGACUCAGUGAAAUUGAACUCGCUGUGAAGAUGCAGUGUACCCGCGGCAAGACGGAAAGACCCCGUGAACCUUUACUAUAGCUUGACACUGAACAUUGAGCCUUGAUGUGUAGGAUAGGUGGGAGGCUUUGAAGUGUGGACGCCAGUCUGCAUGGAGCCGACCUUGAAAUACCACCCUUUAAUGUUUGAUGUUCUAACGUUGACCCGUGAUCCGGGUUGCGGACAGUGUCUGGUGGGUAGUUUGACUGGGGCGGUCUCCUCCUAAAGAGUAACGGAGGAGCACGAAGGUUGGCUAAUCCUGGUCGGACAUCAGGAGGUUAGUGCAAUGGCAUAAGCCAGCUUGACUGCGAGCGUGACGGCGCGAGCAGGUGCGAAAGCAGGUCAUAGUGAUCCGGUGGUUCUGAAUGGAAGGGCCAUCGCUCAACGGAUAAAAGGUACUCCGGGGAUAACAGGCUGAUACCGCCCAAGAGUUCAUAUCGACGGCGGUGUUUGGCACCUCGAUGUCGGCUCAUCACAUCCUGGGGCUGAAGUAGGUCCCAAGGGUAUGGCUGUUCGCCAUUUAAAGUGGUACGCGAGCUGGGUUUAGAACGUCGUGAGACAGUUCGGUCCCUAUCUGCCGUGGGCGCUGGAGAACUGAGGGGGGCUGCUCCUAGUACGAGAGGACCGGAGUGGACGCAUCACUGGUGUUCGGGUUGUCAUGCCAAUGGCACUGCCCGGUAGCUAAAUGCGGAAGAGAUAAGUGCUGAAAGCAUCUAAGCACGAAACUUGCCCCGAGAUGAGUUCUCCCUGACUCCUUGAGAGUCCUGAAGGAACGUUGAAGACGACGACGUUGAUAGGCCGGGUGUGUAAGCGCAGCGAUGCGUUGAGCUAACCGGUACUAAUGAACCGUGAGGCUUAACCUUACAACGCCGAAGGUGUUU